GCGGACCUACGGGGCGCAGCAGUGAGGAAUAUUGGUCAAUGGUCGGGAGACUGAACCAGCCAAGCCGCGUGAGGGAGGAAGGUACAGAGUAUCGUAAACCUCUUUUGUCAGGGAACAAAGGCGGGGACGUGUCCCCGGAUGAGUGUACCUGAAGAAAAAGCAUCGGCUAACUCCGUGCCAGCAGCCGCGGUAAUACGGAGGAUGCGAGCGUUAUCCGGAUUUAUUGGGUUUAAAGGGUGCGCAGGCGGUCUGUUAAGUCAGCGGUCAAAGCCCGGGGCUCAACCCCGGGACUGCAUUGGAAACUA
rnacentral:rRNA from 1 species